rnacentral:ncRNA from 1 species
UACCUUCGCAGCGCGCCCGGUUCAGGUGAAUAAUAUGUUCACCAGAUUAAAAGGGAAGUCCGGUGCAAUUCCGGCGCUAUCCCCGUAGCUGUAAGUUUUUGUCAAUAGUAGUUUAUCUGCAUUGACCUGUUCAAUCUUCACACCACUGCCGGAUCAAACGGCGGGAAGGUAUUCAACAGCAAACAAGCCAGAAGACCUGCCAGGCCAUAACAUUCAUU